rnacentral:rRNA from 1 species
CCGGGCCUGUGGCGGCCGUAGACACCCCGAAGGCGGUCGGAAGCUUGCAGUGUGAGAGAUAAGCACAAAUUAUUUAAAACUCUCAACAACGGAUAAUAUCGGUGUGCGGGGCAUACGAUGAAGAACGCGAGUGAAAUGACGAUAAGUAAUGUGACAUAUGUCAGAAUUACAGUGAAUCAUCGAGUCUUUGUAACUGCACAGUGCGCCGCCCUCGGUAUUCUCGGGGGGCAUGCAUGUCCAAGUGUCAUUGCUGCCCUGCAAGCCCGGCUUGUGUCUCUGGGCGCCGUCCCCCCGGUGGAUCGUGCCCGAAAGGCAGCGGCGGCACCGCGUCCGGUCCUCGAGCGUAUGGGGCUCUGUCACCCGCUCCGCAGGCCCGGCCGGCGCCAGCCGACCCCCCCAAUCUUUCUUUACGUUGACCU